UACGAGGGGGGCGAGCGUUGUUCGGAAUUAUUGGGCGUAAAGGGCGCGUAGGCGGUGCGGUAAGUCACCUGUGAAAUCUCUGGGCUUAACCCAGAGGCUGCUUUCAAAACUGCCGUGCUCGAGUGCGAGAGAGGCCAGUGGAAUUGCAGGUGUAGCGGUGAAAUGCGUAGAUAUCUGCAGGAACACCCGUGGCGAAGGCGGCUGGCUGGAUCGCAACUGACGCUGAGGAACGAAACCUAGGGGAGCAAACAGG
rnacentral:rRNA from 1 species